rnacentral:lncRNA from 1 species
GAGACAAACAUUUCAAAACUUCCAAAGAAGUCUCAGGUGUAGACAUGUCACAAGUGAAAUGCUUUUAUGAGAAGAUCAGAAAGAAGCGAAACGUCUUCCAGAAGGUGCAAAAGGAGAUUGAGAAGUUACUGCCAUCGUUGUCUUCCUCUCCCAUCUCACCUGAAAAUUUCAGAGUCUACUUGAUCUUGCCUUUCCUUCUGCAGGGAGAGAACGACAGCUCUUACCGUUCUCUCCGGCUUCUAGCACAAGCCAUCACAAAGCUCCAGUCAAAGGACCUGCAAACUCUUGAAUGCCUGUGGUCAAAUCUAGAAACAUCAUUUUUAAAGGAGCUGGUCAUUCUAUAUCAGAGGGUUUCCCAGAAAAACCUAUCUCAGUUUAUAAUAGAACUCAUAUAUGACCAAAGAGACCCCUUCAGUCUGCGCCCACAUGAAACAGUGACUCUGCAAAUACUGCAGAUUCUUUACCAGGUAAGAAGGUGUUUGGGUCCUGAUUAGAUGAGUAUCAGUACAAGUUAGAAUAUUUUAAUCCUUUUUACUUGUUGAAUUUUCUGGGUUUCCUUCUUACAAAGGGAAGAUGGGGCCUCGUCAUUUGACAUUGCUUCAGGAAUCUCUUUGGCUCUACAACGUCAUAGCUUUGAAGGAAUCCUGCUCUUGAGUCAUGCCUCUGUAGAAAUUAAGAGCUUCAAGUAUGCGAUAGCCGCUGGCGGGAGGGGAUGCUUUCAGUGGUGUGAGAG